rnacentral:rRNA from 1 species
UUCGGAUCUGGGAUCAGAAUGAGUACGAUUUAAAUCCCUUANCGAACNCCACUGGAGGGCAAGUCUGGUGCCAACAGCCGCGGUAAUUCCAGCUCCAGUAGCGUAUAUUAACAUUGUUGCAGUUAAAAAGCUCGUANUUGGAUUUCUGGUAUGAUGGGCUUAAGCUGCUCCGGUUUCGGACGUAUGUCCUUUGUUUAUCUGCCAUCCUUGUAGAAACUCUCACCUUAACCAGUGGGACUAUCUACAUCUUUUACUUUGAAAAAAUUAGAGUGUUUAAAGCAGGCAUUGUGCCUAAAUACAUUANCAUGGAAUAAUAAUAUAGGACUUUUGUUCUAUUUUGUUGGUUUCUAGGACGAAAGUAAUGAUUGAUAGGGAUAGUUGGGGGUGCUAGUAUUCAGCGGCCAGAGGUGAAAUUCUUGGAUUCGCUGANGACUAACUUAUGCGAAAGCAUUCACCAAGGAUGUCUUCUUUAAUCAAGAACGAAAGNUGGGGGAUCGAAGACGAUCAGAUACCGUCGUAGUCUCAACUAUAAACUAUGCCAACUAGAGAUUANUGGACGUUGAUUUUAGACUCCAUUAGCAUCUUACGAGAAAUCAAAGUCUUCANGNUCCGGGGG